rnacentral:rRNA from 1 species
AUUGCCCCAGUAACGGCGAGUGAAGCGGCAACAGCUCAAAUUUGAAAUCUGGCUCCCCUUGGGGGUCCGAGUUGUAAUUUGGAGAGGAUGUUUCUGGCGCGGCGCCUUCCGGAGUUCCUUGGAACAGGACGCCACAGAGGGUGAGAGCCCCGUACGGUCGGCCGCCUAGCCUCCACGAAACUCCUUCGACGAGUCGAGUAGUUUGGGAAUGCUGCUCAAAAUGGGAGGUAAAUUUCUUCUAAAGCUAAAUACCGGCCAGAGACCGAUAGCGCACAAGUAGAGUGAUCGAAAGAUGAAAAGCACCUUGAAAAGAGGGUUAAACAGUACGUGAAAUUGUUGAAAGGGAAGCGCCUGCGACCAGACUCGCGCCCCGCGGACCAGCCGGCGUUCUCGCCGGUGCACUCCGCGGGGUGCGGGCCAGCAUCGGUUUUCCCUGGGGGAGAAAGGUUGCGGGAAAGUAGCUCUUUCGGGAGUGUUAUAGCCCGUGGCGUCAUGCCCCAGGGGGGACCGAGGACCGCGCUUCGGCAAGGAUGCUGGCGUAAUGGUCGUCGGCGACCCGUCU